rnacentral:rRNA from 1 species
GACAGAGGUGCCGAGCGUUAGGCGGAAUCACUGGGCUUAAAGCGUGUGUAGGCGGACCCGUCAGUGUCUUGUGAAAUCCCACGGCUCAACCGUGGAACGGCUGGGCAUACUGCGGGUCUUGAGACACCUAGGGGCGAGCGGAACAGGCGGUGGAGCGGUGAAAUGCGUAGAUAUCAGGAGGAACACCGGUGGCGAAGGCGGGUCUCUGGGCCGAUACUGACGCUGAGGAGCGAAAGCGUGGGGAGCGAACAGG